CUUUGUUAGGUUUAUACCAAAAAAAUUGUGAAUACAUUGAUGAUAUAUAGGUAAAAUUGUAUUUUAUAUGCCCUAGGGGAGUUGCCUCUUUAAAGAAGUUCUGUAAUUAAUUCUUUUAUUAAGGGGAGGACUGUCAGCAAAUGUGUCUGUUUUGAAUAUUCAGCUUUUUUUUGAGGAAGAUUUGCCCUGAGCCAACGUCUGUUGCCAAUCUUCCUCUUUUUGCUUGAGGAAGAUUUGCCCUGAGCUAAACAUCUGUGCCAAUCUUCCUCUAUUUUGUAUGUGGGCUGCCACCACAGCAUGGCUGAUGAGUGGUAUAGGUCCAUGCCCAAGAUUCUAACCUGUGAACCAGGGCCACCAAAGCAGAGCAUGCUGAACUUAAUCCCUUCACCAUGGGGAUGGACCCCAUUAAAUAUUCAGCUCUUGUUUCUUUCUUAGGACCAACUACGCAGAUCACUGACUGGCUGACUUUGGUUAAAGUGGGUGGACGAUGGAGAGCGGAGUGGAACUGCUCAGAUACAGGCAAGCUGGGGAGAAGCCUUUUGAGAGUGGGAGGUGUCUUCUUGCUCUCCUCACACCUUUUCUAGAAACAGGAUGCGUGGAUUUGCCUUCUACCUCCCUGGAUGGAGGCAAUGUGAAUCUGUGCCGAGCUGAGGAGCCAAGACCUGGGACCAGGGGAGACCCAGGAAGAAGCAAGGAGAAGCAAGCCUUAGACGCCAAGGAUGUGGGCAUGACCACCAAGUGAAAUGAGGCAGCAUUGGUGGUUCAGAUGGACAGUACAAACCAGACCCCUUGGCUAGCCUAAUUUGAUUAUGGUUCAUGUCAUUCACAUCGUUCCCUGUGUCUGGGCUGGAGCUGUGGUGGGGGGAGCAGUCAGCUCCCUGUGCUGGGCCUGGGCCUGGAAAACAUCAGGCUGUGGCUGACCGUACAUAAACAACCAGCCACUCCUGGGCUGAGGACAGUUUUCCACUCACCUGGCUCCAGAUUUCCAGGGCCCAUGUCAGUCUAUCUGUGUUUACGUCUUGGCCCUGUGAGUGGAGUCUCCUUCCUGGGGAGGCCUAUUCUUAGAGCCCAUGACCUAUGCCUGCUUACUCUCCACAAGACGAGGGGCUGGGCAGUCACACUUGAGCCCUUCAGAACAUUUCAACCCUUUUGAGAGAGGCUGCUAGGAUCUGUCUCCUUGGGCUAGAGCAGCGCUGGUGGGGAGUCAAUAUUAUGGGCCUAGUAGAUAAUCCUUCAUGGUGUGAACAGAGGGGAGGAAAUGUCCCCCUGGUCAAAUACAUUUGUGCUCCCUUAUGUUGCUCACAAUUCUACUGAGGUGAUAGAUUAAAAAGUUACAAUGAUAAUAAUGACUGUUUUUUGCUCGAAUUGUGCUUUCCAGGAUUCAUUAGCUUGUUCAGUCUCUGUAUCAGCUUCACGGUAGGUGGGCCAGGAAUUAUCUCCACUAUUUCAUAGAUGGGGACACCAGGAGGGUCAAGGAGAGGAAGCAGACUCCGGCCGGGGUCAGGUGGCUGGGGUCCCAUCCUCAUUCUGUCACUGUCAUUGUCAAAGAGAACAACUGACUCCUUCUCUGAACUUAGUGUCCUGAUUUGAAUAUAUUUUGUAAUUUAUAAAAUUCUUUUAAUUUGAAUACAACAUAUCAGUUAAGGGCAGGCCUUUAUGUACUGAUAUGAAGGGUCUCCAAGAUAAGGUGCUAAGUACCGAGAGCAACAGUUGGCACCUGGGUAUAAUCUGAUGCUAUUUGA
rnacentral:lncRNA from 1 species